rnacentral:rRNA from 1 species
AACACAUGCAAGUCGAGCGCACUCUUCGGAGUGAGCGGCGGACGGGUUAGUAACGCGUGGGAACGUACCCAGAUCUAAGGAAUAGCCACUGGAAACGGUGAGUAAUACCUUAUACGCCCUUCGGGGGAAAGAUUUAUCGGAUUUGGAUCGGCCCGCGUUAGAUUAGGUAGUUGGUGGGGUAAUGGCCUACCAAGCCUACGAUCUAUAGCUGGUUUUAGAGGAUGAUCAGCAACACUGGGACUGAGACACGGCCCAGACUCCUACGGGAGGCAGCAGUGGGGAAUCUUAGACAAUGGGCGCAAGCCUGAUCUAGCCAUGCCGCGUGAGUGAUGAAGGCCUUAGGGUCGUAAAGCUCUUUCGCCUGUGAUGAUAAUGACAGUAGCAGGUAAAGAAACCCCGGCUAACUCCGUGCCAGCAGCCGCGGUAAUACGGAGGGGGUUAGCGUUGUUCGGAAUUACUGGGCGUAAAGCGCGCGUAGGCGGAUUAGUCAGUUAGAGGUGAAAUCCCAGGGCUCAACCCUGGAACUGCCUUUAAUACUGCUAGUCUUGAGUUCGAGAGAGGUGAGUGGAAUUCCGAGUGUAGAGGUGAAAUUCGUAGAUAUUCGGAGGAACACCAGUGGCGAAGGCGGCUCACUGGCUCGAUACUGACGCUGAGGUGCGAAAGUGUGGGGAGCAAACAGGAUUAGAUACCCUGGUAGUCCACACCGUAAACGAUGAAUGCCAGUCGUCGGCAAGCAUGCUUGUCGGUGACACACCUAACGGAUUAAGCAUUCCGCCUGGGGAGUACGGUCGCAAGAUUAAACUCAAAGGAAUUGACUGGGGCCCGCACAGCGUGAUCAUGUGGUUUAAUCGAAGCACGCUCAGAACUUACAACCCUUGACAUCUCGGGACGGCAAGAGAGAUCUGGCUUCACAUCGGUGGACGAUGACAGUGCUGCA